UGCACAGGAAAAGUACUUUAUACCCUCGGA
rnacentral:piRNA from 2 species